rfam:Nomascus leucogenys chromosome 7b, whole genome shotgun sequence.
GCUGGGUGUGGUGGCUCACGCCUGUAAUCCCAGCACUUUGGGAGGCUGAGGUGGGUGGAUCACCUGAGGUCAGGAGUUCUAGACCAGCCUGGCCAACAUGGUGAAACCCCAUCUCUA